AUAGAUGUAGACGAAUGCCUGUCAAACCCGUGUUCAGCUAAUGGAAUUUGCAGAGACGAAAUUGCUGGUUUUACCUGUCAAUGCAACAAUGGCUUCACUGGAGAGCUCUGUGAAAUAGACACAGAUGAAUGUUCUAGCGAACCUUGUCAGAAUGAUGCCACAUGCAUCGAUGAGAUAUCUGGUUUCUCCUGCAUUUGUGUGACGGGUUUCAUAGGCACCACGUGCGAGACGAACUUUAACGAGUGUUCGACGAAUCCCUGCGUUAGAGGCGUUUGUCAAGAUCAGGUUAAUAAAUAUGAGUGUGUCUGUCCCGCUGGUUACUAUGGCGAUCGAUGUGAAGCUGACCACAACGAGUGCUUGUCUUCCCCGUGUUUGCAUGGGCUUUGCAGUGAUGAGAUCAAUAGCUUUAAUUGCACUUGUGA